CUCUCAUUUGUCUCUCUCAUCUCUUUGCGCCGUUCUCAUAUGUUCUCAAUUCUCUCCACCGAUUUGUCUUGAUUUUACUAAAAAUUACUGCGAUUUCUCUUGAAUCCCUUCGUUUUCGAGUUUGUUUUGCCUCUAUUUCCAUCACGAAAGGUAAAGAUCCAUGUUCUUCAACGAUUUAGGGUUUUAAAUUUGUAGUUUUGUGUACAGGCGAUCGGAAAAUAAAGAAAAGUCCGACCACAACGACCGAAUUGAUUAUCUGGAAAAGAAUCAAUAGAAAAAGAAAAAAUCCGGAAUUUCGACCUUGUCACUCAAAAACAUCAACUAAUAAAGUUAAAAAAAAAUUGUUUCAACAAUUCUCGUUCUUUACAUUUCUUCUUAGCGGCUUGGCCGGAACCAUAAGCGUCCCUUGUUUCGAAGAGAAGAGGACGGGUUAUGUAAUUAUUGGAAUAAUUGUUGGAAACUCAAAUGGUGGAUAUGCUUAUUUUGGAUAGUUUUCGUUCUCUUCUUCUUCUUCUCUUUCAUUUUUUCAGUUGACUGUUCCUCUUCUUCAAAGUCUUUCUGUGAUAACAUUUGAUAGUCAUGAUUCGAUUAGUUGAUUUUAUCUCUUCUUCGAUGUAUUAAACAAUUUGCAGGAUUUUGUGUCUAUUUCCAUAUUUGGACAGUAAUUUAUACAACAUUUUAGUUUGAAAACUAAAAAUUGACGGAUCCGGAUAUGGCCGGAUAUCUGAGUUUUGACGUCCGGAUAUCCGAUUCGUAUGAGACCGAGAUCGAGAUAAUCUUUCGACUUAACUCGCGGGUCCGAAGCCUGAAGCCUGAUAGACUAAAAUUCGCGGAUAUCCGCCGUGCCCACCCCUAACUACCGCCAUUGCAUUCCCCUCUAAGUCCCUCGUCAGGUCGUCUUUCUCGGGAUAUUUUUAUCUGCUCUAGGGUUUCUUUCGUCGAGAUCGUAUCUUGCCCAGUUACUUCUGCAGAUUUUUAAUGGUUAAAGCGUAUAGACAAGAGCAUGUAUACAAGCACCCGUGGGAACGGGCGAGUUCUGCCUCGUGGAGAAAAUUUGCCGACCCUGAAAACACAUGCAUGCUCUCCCACAUCCUCGAGGUUGACGCAUUGCACCGAAAACUUGACACUGAAACCGGGAAACUCUACAAGACACAAUUCCUUACCAUCCAUGCUCCUGUAGUACCAUGGUUCCUCCGCAAGAUCGUGGGUCAGGAUAUCUGUCACUGUGUGGAAUCUACAGUCGUGGAUGGAAAAUCGCGUUCUAUGCAAGUACACUACAUAAUUUCCAUAAGUAAUGCUUAUUUGCUCGUAAAAACUUAUUUCCAAACCAAUUUGGUUUUACCAAAGUUUCUUCAUGCUCUCUUGGUUUAGACCAUGCUUUGUAUGUCAUUAUGUUGGGGUAGUUUGCAAAGUGAUGAGUUAUUAUUUAAUUUAGCCUACAAAAUUUGAAGGA